rnacentral:lncRNA from 1 species
GGCACAUUCGACAGUUCUGUUGUCACAACAACCCUCUCGUCUUUCGGAGCGGAUUUUGUUAACUACUGAUUUUUUUUUCUCUGUAUCCCGGAGAAGUGAACUCUUCAUAAAAUUAUUGCAAGCUCUGUGAUAAUGUUAAGCUCUGUGAAGUGCAAGAACUAUAUUCUUGUAGCAAUUCUGCCGUAAUUAGCCGACGGAUAUCAGAGGUUCGUCACGUUCCCAGCCUUCACCCUCUUCGGCAAGUACACAGCAUUCUACUGCUUAUCGUCGGCGCCAACUUGACCUGUGACCCUGCGAGAUGAUAAUGACGAACUGACGUUAAAACAAACCGAUCACAGAUGCUGUGGAUUACUUUGUGAAUAUAUAAUUUGUACAUAAGAUCAUCUAUCAACAGCUUAGACCAGUAGCAGUGCGCAUGACAAGAGCCUGGGUCAAACUCUGUAUUAACAAACAACUACUGUCUAGAACUGGGGACUAUCAGCUGCCCCAGCAGAGUUCACCCAUGCACCACUUGCAUCCUCACAUCCUCUAGCUGAUUAGUCAGCCAUCACACUGACUAUCCAACUUAUCCUCAUGUAUUCAAGAAUUAAAUAAAAAGCACAGAAAUAAACACA